GUUUUUGAUUAUCAAUUAUUUUUUGUCCUUUCAAUUCAGCCUUCAAAGGCUAAUCGAUUUCCUUUCCAUUCUAAUUAAAAGUAGAGCGUGCGAUGAGCACAGUUUGUUUUGUGUCUUCACUUGCAAAAGUUUUCUGCAUCACUGACCCUAACCAAUUAACUAUCAAUAAAAAAAAAAUGAAGUUACGCUUUCUCUAAUUAUGCCAAAAACUUUUAAUUUGAUUAUUAAAAAAAUUAAUUAAAAAAGUAGUAAGAAUUGU
rnacentral:misc_RNA from 1 species